rnacentral:lncRNA from 1 species
ACGUCACGGGGGUUACGACCCAUCGACUUAUCAGUGAGUGGGCAGUUUUGUUUUCGUAUUACCUAUAUACUACUGUUUUUCCCAAAAAAUGCAAUUAUAUGAAAAUAUGUUUUAAAAUGCCAUGCAUGCAAUCGAUGAGAUAUUUGAAUUGAUAAUUGAUGCAUAUAUAUGUGAAUUGACGCUGUUGACGCACAGGUGAGUUUUUACAUUAUUCAUACGAUUUAUUUUAUGUGAAUUGCAUUGGAAGCUCAUAACCUGCACCCUAGGUGUUAGUGUUUAUAAUAUUCACUACACCGCACGCUCGCCUUGGAUCCAAGUAGGUGGAUGUCGUACAGACUACUAGAGGUGGUUCCGACAUGCCAGUCGUACAGACCAUUAGAGGGGUUCCGACUGGUAGGUGACCUUAGAUUAUGUGCACAGAUGAUUGAUGAGAGAAGCACUAGAGCGUAUUAUUUCACCAUCUUAGUCGUACAGACUACUAUAGGUAGUUCCGACUUAUGUGCAGUGUAGUGCCGUACAGGUCACAGUUAGUGACUCUGGCAGGGCCGUACAGGUCACAGUUGGUGACUCCGGCUGGAUGGGAUAGUGAGCUAUAGAAUCAGCCGUACAGGACCACUGUAGGGUCUCCGGUUGAUUUAUUAUUUCACCUAAGUUAUAUUGAUGCAUUCAUAUUAUAUUUUGGCAUGGCAUGGCAUAUUCUUUCUGAGAUGUUAUGUUGAUAGAUGGUGAGCGGAGUUUUGAUGAUAUAUGUAUAUAUACGUUUAUAUACUAUUUUUUUUGGAAAGUAUACAGGUUUUACGGUGAAGGGUUAGAAACGUUUUAAAUGAAAUGCUUUUGGAAAAUCUUUGGUUUUACUGACCCACUCAUCUUUGUUUUACGCCCCUCCAGGUUCUAGUUAGCAGUUGGUGGCUCACGAGGUCUUUUUUUGCAUUCUGACAGACGUUCUGCAUGUAGGACUCACCUGCGGGUGUUGUACUUUAAUUAUGGUCCUACUUGACUGCACUUAUACCUACGCUCUGAAUUCAUGUGUUUUACUUUAUAACUCUCUCUUGUAUGCUAGUAGGUUAUUCUGCUAGUGGUUGGUUUAAAUUCCUUCAUAUUUCUGUUAUAUCUUGCUUUCGUGUCGCACUUUUGGCUACGUCACGCUCACGUGACGGCCAGCACGCCUUGAUUCUAGGAUCGGGGUGUGUCAAUUUGGUAUCAGAGCCUAGGUUGCAGUCCUGUAUAAUUAUUAAUGCUCUAAUGAUCUUUUGAUGUUUUUUGUCAGAAUUAUGCUGCCUCGUAGGGAACGUAGGGAAUCCCGCCGUACUCCUGAACCUAAUUUCCCUGAUAUCACUCAGUUAGGGGAAGCAAUGGCCCAGGCUCUUCAGAAUACAAUUCGUCCUCCUCCCCCUCCUCAGAUGACGCCCCUAGAGACUAUGUACAAUUUGAAAUUGGAUCGUUUUAUGGGUAAUGAAGGUCAUGAGGGGGCAGAGAAAUGGCUAGACCAUAUUGAGAAGACGUUUCAGGUGAUGGAAAGUCAGGGGAACUUUCCUGCUAAUAGGUGGGUUGAGACCACUACCUGGUUUUUGGGCUGAGAGCCAGUAGCUUGGUGGGAAAAUCAGACUAGGUUUAUGUCACCUGAGACGGCUGCUGACUGGAAAGUAUUCAAAGAGAACUUUAUGAAGAGAUUUGUCCCUCCAGAAUACAUCGAUCGUAAAAAGCAAGAGUUUACUCGAUUGAAACAAAGGAAUAUGUCAGCACAUGAGUACUACAGAAAGUUUACUGAUUUGUCUCGUUAUGACCCUGAUACAGCUGGUAAUCAGGUAAAGAUGCUUCGACGUUUCAAGUUGGGAACUAAGAGAAAAUGGCGGACUUUUGCCAGUGCACUUCCCUGCGCCGAUUAUCAUGAGUUUUUCGAGAUUUUGGUUAGGAUGGAGGACUCCGAUAAUCUUCCCAGUGACAGUGAGGAUGACGAGGACAAGAAUGAUGGUCAGAAGAAGGAUGAUAAAGGUAAGGGUAUCUCCAUUCCAGGACCUCGUAAGACACAGAAUUUUAAGAAGAGUGGAGCGAGUUCGAGUUCUUCUAGUGGAGGAUAUAGUAUUACUGGCCCGAGGAGAGGUGGUGGAAGAUUUUCUGGUGGACCCAGAUUUCAGAGGCAGAGGGAUUCCGGUGGUGCUGGUGGUUCUGGUGCUCCGUGGUGUCGCCGUUGUAAUUUUCGUCAUCAUGGUGAGUGCAAGAGAGGUGGUGGUGCUUGUUAUGCUUGUUAUGCUUGUGGACAAAUGGGACAUCGGGCUUCUCACUGUCCCCAGGGUCAGCAGAGACCUCAGCAGACCACUAUGCCACCUCCAGCGCCGAUUCAGCAGAGCUUUGGACCAGGCAGUUAUGGCCAGUCGGGUCGUGGUGGUGCUUACCACUACUAGGGGGAUGCUGCUCCUUAUGCUUCCGGACCUUAUCAGUAUCCCCAUGAGCCUUAUUCUCAGACGGGGUAUUCCCAGGACCUUGGGGGUUAUUCUUCUUAUUCUUCCAUGCCAGCUGAUGGAUCUCAGUGGCAUCAGGGAGGCCAGCCCCGUCAGGGAGAAGUUGCUGCUGGUGGUGCAGGAUCAUCUAGGCAGCCUAGUCAGUCAGGCCAGGGACGUACUUCUCAGGGGCGAGGUAAUCAAGGCAUCAGAAGUCGUGAUGGACGACAGCAAGCUUAGGGGCGUGUUAAUCACAUCUCACUGCAAGAUGCUCAGAACCAUCCAGAUUUGAUCAUGGGUACGUUAAAUGUUCUUGGUCACUUUGCUAGAGUUUUGAUUGAUUGUGGUGCUACGCAUUCUGUGAUUUCUCAUACGUUUGCUCAAAUGACUCAACCCCACCCUUCACCUCUAGGAUUUGAUUUAGAGUUUGCCAUGCCUAGAGGAGAUAAGUGUUAUGUUGAUAGUGUGUAUCUUGGGUGUCCAGUGUUGGUAGAGGGCGUAGUUAUGCCAGCUGAUCUUAUUCCAUUAGAUAUUGUGGAUUUUGAUGUGAUUCUCGGAGCAGAUUGGUUGCAUUAUAAUCGUGCCCAUAUUGAUUGUUAUGGGAAAUCAGUUACUUUUUAUCGCCCUGGACUACCCGAGGUUACUUUUGUGGGCCAAAGAAGUGGGGUGAGACAUGGUGUUAUUUCUGCCAUAAGAGCAAGGAAGUUAUUAUCGAAGGGUUGCCAAGGAUAUUUAGCACAUAUGGUGUUAAAUGAUGUUGUUCCUAGCAGUGUGGAAGAAGUUGGUGUGGUCAGGCAUUAUCCUGAUGUAUUUCCUGAUGAUUUGCCGGGGUUGCCUCCAGAUAGAGAUGUGGAAUUCUCUAUCGAAUUGCUUCCAGUUACAGACCCUAUAUCUCUAACUCCUUAUAGAAUGGCUCCAGCUGAGUUGAGAGAAUUGAAAAUUCAGUUACAAGAACUACUUGAUAAAGGUUUCAUUCAACCUAGUUCGUCACCUUGGGGAGCUCCAGUAUUAUUUGUGAGAAAGAAAGAUGGAACUCUGAGAUUAUGCAUUGAUUAUAGGCAAUUGAACCGGGUAACAAUUAAAAACCGUUAUCCAUUGCCUCGCAUCGAUGAUUUGUUUGAUCAGCUGAAAUGUGCGUGUGUAUUUUCUAAGAUUGAUUUGAGAUCUGGUUAUUAUCAGUUGAAGAUUAAAGAUGAAGAUGUACCUAAGACGGCUUUCAGAACCCGUUACGGACAUUAUGAAUUUCUGGUUAUGCCAUUUGGGUUGACUAAUGCGCCUGCAGCUUUCAUGAGGCUAAUGAACGAGGUAUUCCAGCAAUAUCUUGAUAAAUUUGUUAUUGUUUUUAUUGAUGAUAUUCUGGUAUACUCUAAAUCUAAAGCAGAUCAUAUCCGACAUCUUAACUUGGUAUUAAAGAAAUUGAGGGAACAUCAGUUGUAUGCCAAGUUCAGUAAAUGUCAGUUUUGGUUGACUAAAGUGGCAUUUUUGGGGCAUGUUGUAUCAGCACAAGGAAUUCAAGUAGAUCCUCAAAAGAUAGUAGCAGUGGAGAAUUGGGAACAACAUCGAACCGUCACUUAGGUACGAAGUUUUCUUGGUUUGGCAGGUUAUUAUCGACGGUUUGUUCAGGACUUUUCUAUGAUUGCUUUGCCGUUAACGAAGUUGACCAGGAAGGAUGUUAAAUUCGAGUGGGAUGAGAAUUGUGAACGGAGUUUCCAGCAAUUGAAAUAUUGCCUCACUUAUGCUCCAGUAUUGGUACUCCUUGAUGAUAGCAGUAAUUUUGAGAUUUACAGUGAUUGCCUAUGCUUCUCGACAGUUGAAAAAUCAUGAAAGGAAUUAUCCUACUCACGAUCUUGAAUUGGCAGCCAUUGUCUUUGCUUUGAAGAUUUGGAGGCAUUAUUUAUAUGGUGAGAAGUGUAAGAUCUUCACAGAUCACAAGAGUCUCCAGUAUCUAUUUACUCAACAUGAUCUUAAUCUUCGUCAGCGAAGGUGGAUGGAAUUGCUGAGUGAUUAUGAUUGCACUAUUAAGUAUCAUCUGGGUCGUGCUAAUGUGGUAGCUGAUGCACUGAGUAGGAAACCUCAAGGUCGACUCAAUGCUUUAUAUGCUUGUCGUGUUCCCCUUCUUGCAGAACUAAGGGCAACGGGAGAAAGUUGGAGUUGGAAGAUCGAAGCGGAGCUUUUCUUGCUAGUUUUCAAGUCAGGCCAGUUUUGGUUGAUCAUAUACUCGAAGCUCAGAUGGUGGAUGAGGAAAUUCAAGAAAUGGUUCAAUUAAGAAAUGAAGGGAAAAAGAAAGACCUUAGGAUUCGAGAAUCAGAUGGCAUGCUUAUGCAGGAGAACAAAAUGUAUGUACCGAAUAAUGAGGAAUUAAAAAAGGAAAUUUUGGAUGAAGCGCAUUGUUCAGCUUAUACAAUGCACCCAGGAGGAACUAAGAUGUAUCAUACCAUUCGACCAUUUUAUUAUUGGCCGGGUAUGAAAAGGGAAAUUGUAGAUUAUGUAAGUAGAUGUAUUAUUUGCCAGCAAGUCAAAGCAGAAAGAAAAAAGCCUUUUGGGCGAAUGCAGCCACUUCCCGUUCCCCAGUGGAAAUGGGAAAAUAUAACUAUGGAUUUCGUAUAUAAGCUUCCUCGUACACGAAAUGGAUUCGAUGGUGUUUGGGUGAUUGUGGAUCGACUUACCAAGUCAGCGCACUUCAUUCCAGUGAGGGAAAAGUAUCCUCUAAAUAAAUUGGCUAAGUUGUUUAUCACGAAGAUUGUGAAGUAUCAUGGAGUUCCAAUAAAUAUUAUUUCUGAUCGAGACCCAAGAUUUACUUCUAAAUUUUGGGUAGCUUUUCAGGAAGCUCUUGGUACGAAUUUGCUUUACAGCACUGCUUAUCAUCCUCAAACUGAUGGGCAAUCAGAAAGGGCUAUUCAGACGUUGGAGGAUAUGUUGAGAUCUUCAGUGUUACGGUUUGGUGAUUCCUGGCAUGAUCGCCUAGACUUGAUGGAAUUUGCCUACAAUAAUAGUUUCCAUUCGAGCAUUGGGAUGUCACCAUUUGAGGCACUUUAUGGUAGGGCGUGUCGUACGCCAUUGUGUUGCUCUGAGGUUGGUGAAAGAGUGUUAGAAGGCCCAGAGAUUGUGAAUGAGACUACUCAAAAUAUUCAGGUGAUUAAGUCCAACCUGAAAGUAGCCCAGGAUCGACAUAAGAGUUUAGCGGAUCGACAUGCUACUGAUCGAGUGUAUGAUGUGGGUGAUUGGGUAUUUUUUGAAAUUGUCACCUUGGAGAGGUGUGGUACGAUUUGGGAAAAGAGGAAAGUUAAGUCCUAGGUACAUAGGACCCUAUGAGAUCAUUGAAAGGAUUGGUGAAGUUGCCUACAGGUUGGAGUUACCUCCGGAGUUAUCUAAGGUUCAUAAUGUGUUUCAUGUCUCUAUGCUUCGACAUUAUAUUUCUGAUCCUUCACAUGUAAUCCCUCCUCAACCGCUAGAGAUUAAUCCGGAUUUGACGUAUGAUGAGGAUCCAAUCACUAUCUUGGAUUGGAAAGAUAAGGUUCUAAGGAAUAAGACGGUGAGCUUGGUAAAGGUGUUGUGGAGGAAUCAUUCUGUAGAAGCAACCUGGGAGACAAAAGAUCGAAUGAGAGAGAUGUACCCAAGGUUAUUCUAUGGAUAUUAAGCGGUUUAUUUGGUUGUGGGAAUUUCGGGGACAAAAUUCUAUAAGGAAGGGAGAUUGUCACAGCCCGUCCCGAAAUUUUUUUAUCGGGAGUGCGAAAUGACGAAAAUACCCUUGACGGGUAUUAAGGUACGUGUUUGACAUAUGUAUAUAUUUUAUGGACUAAUUAUCAUCCCUAAACUUUUGGAGAAAAUUGAGUUGUAAAUUUGUGUGGUUAGGGAUUGAAGUGAGAUUGUUUUGGUUGGAACACACCCUCACACACGGACUCACCUGUCCUUCCCCCUCUUCCCCGUGUCUCUCUCUCUCCUCCCUCACGUCUUUCUCACUCUCUCUCACCCUCGAUCGUACGGACAACACCAAAACCCUCCAAAACUUCGUGGAUCGAAGCAAAUAAGGUAUGAUUCUUCACCCUCUUGAUGUUCUAAGUUGAUUGAUACUAAUUUUAGGAAGUGAAACCCUCGGAAUCGUUGUGAAACCCUAACCCUGAAAAUGUGCACUGUUCAUGCACAUGUGAAAUCUUGCAUUUCAGGGAAUUUCAAGCUCACAGUGAGCUUAAGGACAUCCUCACGAGCUUCGGGGUACUUCGUUGGUGAUAUUUGGACGUCGGAGGACCGAGAACGAAGGUUCUCAAAAAUUUAUGAACUAUCGUGCUUCCCCAGGUAAAAUUUAGUGAAUUUUAGACCUUCAAACUAGUCCAUCGUGAUUCUACAUGUUGAGGGCUUCAAAUUGAUAUAAAAUUCAAAGAAAUCGGUUGAGAAACGAAGGAGAACAAGCAUUUUUAAAACUCGCCAGAAUUCGGCCACCGGAAAAAAACCAGUCCGGCGACUGGCUGAGGAAGAUGAUGCGCGAGGGGGCGCGUAGGCCCGUGCCACCCACGGCGCGUGAGGGCGUGUGGCAAGCCUAAAAAUUUUCCUAAAAAUUCCUCGACGUCCGUGACGUCGAGUAGGUCGAUGUGGUAUAUUCAUAUACCCAAAUUGAGCAUCGUAUGAGAAGUUAUUUCGAAUUGUUGGUUAUGUGUUUAAAUUAACGUUUUUAUAGUUGUUUCGCAUAUAGGUGACACCUAUCCCAAGGACGAGCGCAUCCAGGGACGUCACGGGGGUUACGACCUAUCGACUUAUUAGUGAGUGGGCAGUUUUGUUUUCGUAUUACCUAUAUACUACUGUUUUUCCCAGAAAAUGCAAUUAUAUGAAAAUAUGUUUUAAAAUGCCAUGCAUGCAAUCGAUGAGAUAUUUGAAUUGAUAAUUGAUGCAUAUAUAUGUGAAUUGACGCUGUUGACGCACAAGUGAGUUUUUACAUUAUUCAUUCGAUUUAUUUUAUGUGAAUUGCAUUGGAAGCUCAUAACCUGCACCCUAGGUGUUAGUGCUUAUAUUGUUUACCACACCGCACGCUCGCCUUGGAUCCAAGUAGGUGGAUGUCGUAUAGACCACUAGAGGUGGUUCCGACAUGCCAUUCGUACAGACCAUUAGAGGGGU